AUUGAACGCUGGCGGCGUGCCUAAUACAUGCAAGUCGAGCGAAUGGAUUAAGAGCUUGCCCUUAUGAAGUUAGCGGCGGACGGGUGAGUAACACGUGGGUAACCUGCCCAUAAGACUGGGAUAACUCCGGGAAACCGGGGCUAAUACCGGAUAACAUUUUGAACCGCAUGGUUCGAAAUUGAAAGGCGGCUUCGGCUGUCACCUAUGGAUGGACCCGGGUCGCAUUAGCGAGUUGGUGAGGUAACGGCUCACCAAGGCAACGAUGCGUAGCCGACCUGAGAGGGUGAUCGGCCACACUGGGACUGAGACACGGCCCAGACUCCUACGGGAGGCAGCAGUAGGGAAUCUUCCGCAAUGGACGAAAGUCUGACGGAGCAACGCCGCGUGAGUGAUGAAGGCUUUCGGGUCGUAAAAUUCUAUUGUUAGGGAAGAACAAGUGCUAGUUGAAUAAGCUGGCACCUUGACGGUACCUAACCAGAAAGCCACGGCUAACUACGUGCCAGCAGCCGCAGUAA
rnacentral:rRNA from 1 species